AUUGUAGGCAGUUCGUGUAUGGAUCUCAUCAGCAUAUCGUCGCAAACAGGAAAUCCCCAACCAUAGUUGGCUUGGAACUGUGAGGGAAUUCGAAGUGGCCACCCGUUCUGAAAGUUUGAUUUUCUUCUGGUGAACUGGACAUCCUUUUAUUUACGUUUGAAGUUUUGGGUUUUUAAAUGUAAUAAGGCCGCUUAAUUAUUUUUGAUGGUUUUAAUAUGUAUUACUAAGAUAGAUAUUACUUA